UACGUAGGCGGCAAGCGUUGUCCGGAAUUAUUGGGCGUAAAGGGAGCGCAGGCGGAUGACUAAGCGGAUCUUAAAAGUGCGGGGCUUAACCCCGUGAUGGGAUUCGAACUGGUCAUCUUGAGUGCAGGAGAGGAAAGCGGAAUUCCCAGUGUAGCGGUGAAAUGCGUAGAUAUUGGGAAGAACACCAGUGGCGAAGGCGGCUUUCUGGACUGUAACUGACGCUGAGGCUCGAAAGCCAGGGUAGCGAACGGG
rnacentral:rRNA from 1 species